UGAACGCUAGCGGCAGGCCUAAUACAUGCAAGUCGGACGGGAUUGAGAUUAAAGCUUGCUUUGAUUUCAUGAGAGUGGACGCACGGGUGCGUAACGCGUGAGCAACCUACCCAUAUCAGGGGGAUAGCCUCCCGAAAGAGAGAUUAACACCGCAUAACAUCAUUUACCGGCAUCGGUUUAUGAUCAAAUAUUUAUAGGAUAUGGAUGGGCUCGCGUGACAUUAGCUAGUUGAGGGGUAACGGCCCACCAAGGCUACGAUGUCUAGGGGCUCUGAGAGGAGAAUCCCCCACACUGGUACUGAGACACGGACCAGACUCCUACGGGAGGCAGCAGUAAGGAAUAUUGGUCAAUGGAGGGAACUCUGAACCAGCCGUGCCGCGUGCAGGAUGACUGCCCUAUGGGUUGUAAACUGCUUUUUGCAGGGGAAUAAACCUUUCCACGUGUGGGGAAGCUGAAUGUACCUGAAGAAUAAGGAUCGGCUAA
rnacentral:rRNA from 1 species